GUUGGGACCUGUUCCAGGCUGAGGUUCAAAAUGUAAGGGACGACUGUCAUUGCAAGCAAUGUCGGUGAAUUUACACCAAUUACAAUACUAUACAACACAAUUUACCCAGGGGCACUUUAGCGUCUCCAUUAACACAUGUUUUCGGGAGGUGGGACGAAAUCGGAUUUCCUGGAGAAAGCCGACACAGCCUCGGGCAGAACCUGCCAAUUGCACACACAGGGAGGGCUGGGAAUUGAACCCCAGUCCUCAGAAGCGGGAGGCCAACGCUGUACCAGUUGCGCCAUCCAUCCAUCUGUUUUCUUAGCCGCUUAUCCCCACGAGGGUUGCGGGAGUGCUGGAGUCGAUCCCAGCUGUCAACGAGGAGGUGCGAACGGGGUACACCCUGAACUGGUCGCCAGCCAAUCGCAGGGCACAUCGAGACAAACAGCCGCAAUCACAGUCACACCUCGGGGCAAUUUAGAGUGUCCAAUUAAUGUUGCAUGUUUUUGGGAUGUGGGAGGAAACCGGAGCGGCCAGAGAAAACCCACAAAGGCACGGGGAGGACAUGCAAACUCCACACAAGCGGCUCCGGGAUGGAACCCGGGCCUUCAGAACCGUGAGUCCAACGCUUUACCGGCUGAUCCACCGUGAUUAUGCUCAUUAAGAAUACUAUUAUACGAGCAUUCUUUUUUUUUUUUUUUUUAAACUAUUAUUACUAGAUGAUAUGUAGAUGAGAAACAAAAGGUCUUCGUUUCAGGGGCAGUACUGUAGCGUACUUUGCAAUGGCAAUCGUGGGUCCCUCGAGGUCGGGCCGCGGGGAAACAGCGCCACCGUUCGCCGGCUCCGCGGAACGACUCGUCCGCUUUUGUCAGUCGAGUCCGCCGAUCGUCGACGGAGCUCCAUUACAAUCCAGUCGUGUAGGGAGUCAGUCAGUCAGGCAGACAGUCAGCGAGAGACGCUUUGCUCGUUCGGCCCGCGCGCUGCUCGCCAGCCCAGCCGCCUGAAUGUAGAUCCGCAUGGGCUACUACUACGACGACCGCACUCGCUUUCUCCAAAUAACCCAGCGGAGAGAUAAGAUAAGGAUCCCAGGAUGGUGUUAGUGCAUGUCGGAUACCUGGUUCUCCCCGUAUUCGGCUCAGUAAGAAACCGAGUAUGGAGGCUGGCUCUACAUUCUGCAUUUAUCAGAUCUUUGUCGUCCCCCCCAUUGUGUAGCUAAUGAUCAUCUGCUGCUGUGUGGUGUGGCGUGGCCUCUGCCUGUUCUCUGCAUUUAGCUGUAUUGUGAACCCCUUCUUCAUUUCCUCUUUCCAUCCGAAGACGACAUUGGUAUUAAAAAAAAAAAACAAAACAAAGCACCCCUUCCCCCUCUCCUCUUCCUCUUCCUCCUCCCUUCAAGAUGUAUUCCAACCAUGUCAAGCUAACAAAAAACAAAAACAAACAAACAAAAAAAAAACAAAAAACAAGCUAACAUCUUAGAGCAGAGCACCUUUUUGUCUUUUGUUUCUGUCGAUUUUUUGCUGUAGCGCCCGAGUGGACAUGUAGCUCCUUUUUUAAUGGAAUGUCAUUGUGUACCUCCCAUCCAGUCUUUUGAUAGACAACAUGCUGUAAAUUCCUGUCAAGUGGAUACAUUUUUGCAUGAUCUGAAAAGCGGCUGCACUCGCAUUGUUGAACACCAGAAUUUGGCUCAUCCUCCUUUUCUCUUCACUCAAGGUGCAGUGUACAUGUUCUCGUGUGACAAUUUGGACGGCGAAAUUAGCCUUUCGCUGUCCGGCGGAGCAUCCAAAGUCCAACGCGGGCCCUUCUUUGAUGGGUUCUUCUAAUUUCUUGAUGAUUAUCUCCCAUAGAAAAACAUUUCAAUUUGACUACAUUUGUUCCAAGAUCAAAUUAUGCCUAUGAUAAAUGUAGUCUAUCGCUAACCUAUGCAAACACAGUGGCGAAGUUACAGUAAAACGCUUGCAGCAUAUAAAUAUAGAAAUGAGUCAAAAACUCAGUGUGGUGACAACUGACUCUUAUGUACUGAAAGAAAGAUUUUUUUUUUUUUGUACAUUUCAACACUCCGUAGAAUCAUACAACAAACCUCAGUUUAUCGCAGCGAGAGGUUCCGAAGCCUUCGAAAUAAAGAAAUGCUUUUCAAAAUAGUUUUCUCCCGGCCACAUUUGAAACUUAUAGAAACAUACUUUUUCAAGUAUUUCUACUGCCCGUAUGUCCACAAGCUGUUCUCUGAAUCAAAUCCCAAGUGGGCUUGCUUCUGGCUUAUCGUCACCCCAAAUUGAUGUUUACUGUAAAACUGACCCAAAAACGAGUUCAAGCACUAAAAAUCUCAACCAAAGUUGAUUUAGUUGAGCCAAAGUCUGCUCGCAUAAUGCUAACAUUUAAAGUGAAAGACCAAAUGGAAAUUAGCCUUGUCGAUAACGUACCAAGAACUACAAACCUCUAGCCGAUUGCUAGUUGAAUACAGAUGGAGCAGCGGUACAUAAAAUCACGGCAGUUGUACAUUUUCUCUGCUCUGUCGGAGUGACUGUUAAUCAAUAUUAGUUUGGGACCUUCUUUGCCUCUUCUUUUUGGGUUUAAUUAGGCUACAUCUCUUCCAGCAGACCUCAAUACUGCCUUGAAUGUCGCGGCGCAACAUGGUGCUAAAAGUACACCGACCACUCUAAAUUCCGCCUCGUUUGUGUACUGUAAAAGCCAUAAAGGAUCGCCUAAAAAGCUACAAUAAUUCUGGGGAGUGGAAAUGAUUCACCGCGAUAGAGCGACGGAACACUGUGCUUGUAUCAGGAUCGUUGAUCGUUGUACAACAAAACUAAAUUCAAGUAAGAGUACUUUCUCUUUGGUAGUUAAUGUUUAUGCACUCUUAUGGUGUAAAAUCAUAAAGCGAAAUGGUCUGGACUUCUGUGCCAUAUUGUUCCAAAAAGAUCAGUUUGAAUAUUGUCCCACUUUUGGGGGGCUGGACUUUGGAGUUUGGCCUGGUAAUGAACGGAACGGAACGAAGGUACACUGCACCUGCACACGACAACAUGCCAUAACUGUCUCCAUUUUGUCUAGUCCUUUUGUUCCCCCUUUUGCAAAAACAAAUCUUUGAAUCACACUGAAAUGUUGGGCCUGCUUCUCUUUCUAACAGCCUCCAAAACAAUAAUGGAUAGAAUGCAGUGGCACCUCCAAGGUCGAGCGCACUCUGUUCGGUCACCAACAUCAAAACUUCGAUUAACAUUUUUAGCUUUGAUAAACUGUCAGGCCAGUAAACGGUAAAGCCUCGGUUCUCCAACGUCCCCGUUUUCGAACGAAAAUUUCGAGAUAUUUCUGCUUUUGUUUUCGAACGAAAAUCGGUACUCGAGCAGCCCUGCAGAACCCGGACCAGCUGACCCACGACGCCGAAAAAACCCGGAAAUAACAUAAUGAGCAUGCCGCAAGCAGUUGACCCACCCGUGACGCGUUUUGUUGCUGUCAAUUCGAACGCACCCCGAAAAAAAAAACCCCCGGAAAUGACAUAACGCGCGCGGCGCAACCAGUGCACUUUUGUUAUUGCGUAUAACGCAGCCUCUGUACACGGACGUGUCCUGGUAGUGACUGUUGUUUUUCUUCUUCUGGAGGACGACCGUAUUAACCCCCAGUCGUGGCUCCAAAGAAGGCAAGUUGCUUGUUUAAAGUUAUUCUGCACUUUUGUUAACAAAAAAAGUUUACAAGGCCGGGGGCCGAGUCGCUACAGAUACGGCAAUGCGCUCCCAGCCUAGCGUACUCUAAAGCAUACAUUUUAAGCAAAAACUAAAUAUAUUUCCCAAAUUAUUUUAUUAUAUAAAGUAUUUAUACUAUACAUGUAAUUCUACUAUGCAGUUUAUUAUCAGGAACAGCCAAAAAAAAAAAAAAUGCUUUAAAAAGCCCACUUUGUUUAGGCUUGGAACACAUUAUUUCUUUUUCCAUUUAUUGUAAUGGGAAACAUCGAUUCGGUUUUUGACCAAAUCACGUCUCGAACCGUUUUCUGGAACGGAUUGUGGUCGAGAACCGAGGCAUCAAUGUAUCUAGAAGUUAACCAAUCAAUAGUAGUAGUACAAGCAGACGGAGUUCCGUUCCUAUAGGGAUAUCGCAACCCGAAAGUUAGAACAUGGGCUCAUCUAGCUCUUACCUAAAAGUCACAAUUCUUGUAACUGCGAUGUUUGAAAAGGCAGCACUGGUUAGCAUCUCUGCCUCACAGUUCAGAGGACCAGGGUUCAAAUCCAGCCUCGCCUGUGCGGCGUUUGCAUGUUCUGCGCGCGACAGCACGGGUUUUCUCCGGGCAGCCCGAAAAACACGCACGGUAGAUUGAUUUGAAGACUCUUAACUUGUCUGUAGGCACGAACGUUAGUGCAAAUGGUUUGUUUGUUUAUAUGUGCCCUGCGAUUGGCACGUUCCAAAAUUGAAUUGAGUGAAAUUCCAAAUUGAACCAUUAAUGUAAAAAAAAAAAAAAAAAUUGGGAACACAAAUCAGACGGUAGAAAUCAACCAAGCAAGCAAGCAAACCAAAGACACUUCUCUUAAUACUAACAUAAUGCUUCCAUAUAAUACAAAAAGUUGUAGACUGCUGAAUUAAAAUUUGCAUGGAUGUCACAGUAGUUCUAAACCUUGAAACAUUUCCACUGUAACAUGCGUGAAGCAGUCAUGACGCUGAACGUGGCUUAAUAGGAGGGGCACAUGGCGACCGGCCAUCAUCUCCAGCCACCAUGACGCUGAAAAGCUUGCUAAAGCCGAACAAAAGCACUUUCUGCUUUGUAAGGAGGCCAACGCAAAAUGCAAAACAGAUGCAGGGAUAGUGGUCGAGUCAGUCGCUUUGAAACAGGCGGAUCUAGUCUGACAGAGUGCCGUUUUCGAGCUUGAAAGGUUUCAAGCGUUUUUGACUUUGGGGGUUCCACUGUAUCAGCAGGCAAAAUGCGCUCACUGGUGGUUCAUCACUUUCCCAAAAAUCCUCCCCACUAACGAACUUAUGCGCAAAAUGCUAUCCAUUUCACAGGGAUGCCUAUAUUUUCCUGCACUGCUCAAAAGAGAUUCUCUAGUAGUAUAACGUGUCUAUUGUUUGGUUGUGGUUUCUCUUGAUAGUACUUUUUUUCCAAUGCAUGGUCACGUUUUAUGAUUCAUAUACUUUUGUUUUUCUUUUUGAUUUUUGUUUUUUGGUUUGACUCUACAUUGACCUGUGAGAAUCCAAUGUAAUCUUUCUGUAGUAAAGAUGUUACCCUGCUGUACUUGAA